CGGUUGAUCCUGCCGGACCCGACUGCUAUUUGGGUGAGGAUAAACCAUGCGAGUUGUAUGGGAUACCUAAAUUUCCCAUGGCAAACUGCUCAGUAACACAUGAUCAACUUACCCUAUGGAGAAAAAUAACCUCAGGAAACUGAGGAUAAUGUUUCAUAGUUGAAUAGGCUUGGAAAAGUUAUUCAACAAAAGGAAUAAAAACAUGGUUUUUAUUCGCCAUAGGAUAAGGAUCGUGGGUUCGAUUAUGGUUGUUGGUGAGGUAAACGGCUCACCAAGCCGAUAAUCGAUAGGGGCCGUGAGAGCGGGAGCCCCGAGAUGGGUACUGAGACAACGACCCAGGCCUUACGAGGCGCAGCAGGUGCGAGACCUCCGCAAUACACGAAAGUGUGACGGGGUUACCCAAAGUGUUCUCUUUUGAACUGUGGUAGGUGAGUAAUGUCCCCUACUAGAAAGGAGAGGGCAAGGCUGGUGCCAGCCGCCGCGGUAAAACCAGCUCUUCAAGUGGUCGGGAUAAUUAUUGGGCUUAAAGUGUCCGUAGCCGGUUUAGUUAGUUCCUGGUAAAAUCGGAUAGCUUAACUAUCCGCAUGCUAGGAAUACUGCUAUACUAGAGGGCGGGAGAGGUCUGAGGUACUACAGGGGUAGGGGUGAAAUCUUAUAAUCCUUGUAGGACCACCAGUGGCGAAGGCGUCAGACUGGAACGCGCCUGACGGUGAGGGACGAAAGCCAGGGGAGCGAACCGGAUUAGAUACCCGGGUAGUCCUGGCCGUAAACGAUGCAUACUAGGUGAUGGUACGGCCAUGAGCCGUAUCAGUGCCGUAGGGAAACCGUUAAGUGUGCCGCCUGGGAAGUACGGUCGCAAGGCUAAAACUUAAAGGAAUUGGCGGGGGAGCAC
rnacentral:rRNA from 1 species